UACGAAGGGGACUAGCGUUGUUCGGAAUUACUGGGCGUAAAGCGCACGUAGGCGGAUUUGUUAGUCAGGGGUGAAAGCCCGGAGCUCAACUCCGGAACUGCCAUUGAAACUGUAAAACUUGAGAUCAGGAGAGGCGAGCGGAAUUCCGAGUGUAGAGGUGAAAUUCGUAGAUAUUCGGAGGAACACCAGUGGCGAAGGCGGCUCGCUGGACUGAUACUGACGCUGAGGUGCGAAAGCGUGGGGAGCAAACAGG
rnacentral:rRNA from 1 species